AUUGAACGCUGGCGGCAGGCUUAACACAUGCAAGUCGAGCGGAGAUGAGGUGCUUGCACCUUAUCUUAGCGGCGGACGGGUGAGUAAUGCUUAGGAAUCUGCCUAUUAGUGGGGGACAACAUUCCGAAAGGAAUGCUAAUACCGCAUACGCCCUACGGGGGAAAGCUGGGGAUCUUCGGACCUUGCGCUAAUAGAUGAGCCUAAGUCGGAUUAGCUAGUUGGUGGGGUAAAGGCCUACCAAGGCGACGAUCUGUAGCGGGUCUGAGAGGAUGAUCCGCCACACUGGGACUGAGACACGGCCCAGACUCCUACGGGAGGCUGCAGUGGGGAAUAUUGGACAAUGGGCGGAAGCCUGAUCCAGCCAUGCCGCGUGUGUGAAGAAGGCCUUUUGGUUGUAAAGCACUUUAAGCGAGGAGGAGGCUACCUGGAUUAAUACUCUAGGAUAGUGGACGUUACUCGCAGAAUAAGCACCGGCUAACUCUGUGCCAGCCGCCGCUGUAAAAC
rnacentral:rRNA from 1 species